AUAAAUGCAAGCUCUCUAAACUUUCUCUCAACUGCUAGAUUGCUCUCUCAAAAUGGAAUGCCUAAACUCUUCAUCUGCACUUCUAUUUAUAGCAAACUAGUAGCCAAGAAAAUCAAAGCCGUGUUCACCAAAUUCUUCAUCAAAACCGUGUGCAUCAAAUUCAAUCUUCAAACUUGUUGCAAGCUGACCAUUCUUGUCAAAGCUUCUAGAUGCAGCCAUGCCAAACACUUCUAG
rnacentral:lncRNA from 1 species